rnacentral:rRNA from 1 species
GAUGAACGCUGGCGGCGUGCCUAAUACAUGCAAGUCGAGCGAACAGACGAGGAGCUUGCUCCUCUGACGUUAGCGGCGGACGGGUGAGUAACACGUGGAUAACCUACCUAUAAGACUGGGAUAACUUCGGGAAACCGGAGCUAAUACCGGAUAAUAUAUUGAACCGCAUGGUUCAAUAGUGAAAGACGGUUUUGCUGUCACUGAUAGAUGGAUCCGCGCCGCAUUAGCUAGUUGGUAAGGUAACGGCUUACCAAGGCAACGAUGCGUAGCCGACCUGAGAGGGUGAUCGGCCACACUGGAACUGAGACACGGUCCAGACUCCUACGGGAGGCAGCAGUAGGGAAUCUUGCGCAAUGGGCGAAAGCUUGACGGAGCAACGCCGCGUGAGUGAUGAAGGUCUUCGGAUCGUAAAACUCUGUUAUUAGGGAAGAACAAAUGUGUAAGUAACUAUGCACGUCUUGACGGUACCUAAUCAGAAAGCCACGGCUAACUACGUG